GCGUUAAUCGGAAUUACUGGGCGUAAAGCGUGCGUAGACGGCUAUCUAAGUCGGGUGUGAAAGCCCCGGGCUCAACCUGGGAAUUGCAUUCGAGACUGAAUAGCUAGGGUGCGGUAGAGGGAAGCGGAAUUUCCGGCGUAGCGGUGAAAUGCGUAGAUAUCGGAAGGAACAUCAGUGGCGAAAGCGGCUUCCUGGACCAGCACCGACGUUCAGGCACGAAAGCGUGGGGAGCAAACAGG
rnacentral:rRNA from 1 species